rnacentral:rRNA from 1 species
AUUAUUAUAAGUAAAAUCUGCUCCAUGUUAUAUAAAUAGCCGCAGAAUAUUAACUGUGCUAAGGUAGCAUAAUCAUUUACCUUAUAAUUAAAGGUUUGUAUGAAUGAUUUAACAUUUAAAUUUCUUUUUUAUUACUUUUUAUCAAAUUUAAAUUAAACAUAAAAAUGUUUUUAUAUAAAAAAAAGACGAUAAGACCCUAUUGAACUUAUCUACUGUUAAGCUGGGGAAGCUGGUUAAAUAUAAUUUUAACUUAAAACUUAACAAUAAUUUCUAAUAAAAUUAUAUUAACAAGUUACCAUAGGGAUAACAGCGUAAUAUCAUUUUAAAGCUCAUAUUAAAAAUUAAGUUUACGACCUCGAUGUUGAAUUAGAAUUACUUUAAAACGCAAUAGUUUAUAAAAGUGGGUCUGU